rnacentral:rRNA from 1 species
CACACCGCCCGUCACACCAUGGGAGUUGGCUUUACCCGAAGACGGUGCGCCAACCGCGCAAGCGGAGGCAGCCGGCCACGGUAGGGUCAGCGACUGGGGUG